UACGUAGGGUGCGAGCGUUGUCCGGAAUUAUUGGGCGUAAAGGGCGCGUAGGCGGCUAGAUGUGUCAAAGGUGAAAUCCCUCGGCUCAACUGAGGAACUGCCUUUGAAACUGUCUGGCUUGAGGCCGGGAGAGGGCAGCGGAAUUCCCAGUGUAGCGGUGAAAUGCGUAGAUAUUGGGAGGAACACCAGUGGCGAAGGCGGCUACCUGGACCGGUUCUGACGCUGAGGCGCGAAAGCGUGGGUAGCAAACAGG
rnacentral:rRNA from 1 species